rnacentral:tRNA from 1 species
CAAAAAAUAGUUUAAGUAAAAUGUGAGUUUUGGGGACUUGUGAUAGGACUUAGUCCUUUUUUGA